CGUGUCCUCAAGUCAUGUAAGUUAGAACUACAGCUUUCUUGUCUUUGCCAAUAUGAAGACUGCAGGCAGCGGAAGUGUUUAUUUCUUCACUAAGCCGAGGCGAAGCCCCCUCAGCUGCUUUCAGUCUGUCUUGAGGAGUGAGGCCAGUCGGACGCCUCAUUGAUCAUUUCAAGGUAAACAGGAGAUAGUAGUUUCAGGUCUGCAGGGAGGCCACGUCAGGAGAUAAAGAUCGAACCUAACCCAACACAAGACCAGAAUCGCCAACAACAGGUGUGUUUACCUUGUCAUUUGUUAGUUGUGGUAUUAAAAAGGCAACACAAUACAUUACUAUUUAUAUGUGCGUAUAUAUUGCUACCUCAUAUAUAUAUUGCUACCUCCGUGUGUGAUUCCUCUGGAACAAAAGAUCAACAAAUAAUGAAUUUAAUGUAAUGCUGACACAGAUACGAUGUAUAGAAACAGUCCAUUAAUUGUUCCUUGUCACAAUCGUCCAUGUAGACGUGCUUGAAUCACAAUCCGUGGUCUUUCACGAGGGGAUUCUUGCCAGAGAUGACUCUUUUAGUACUAAAGAAAAUCCCCAACGGGCAACUUGGAGAGAAAUUGCAAAACAUGCAAGCGACAGCCUAAUGGCCAUCGAGUAUGCGUCCCUCUGUCUCCCUCCCUCAUUAUUCUCCAGCUCCUUCAUUAUCUGCCUGCAGCGUCCUUGAUUUGAAGCUGGCUGUGUUAAGCAGGCCACUUUGAGCUCGUGCCGGAGCCUCCUUUAAGGUCAAUAAAGCUGCCGGUUUGGACUGUCGCUGCGUUCGUUUCGGUCCUCGACAACUCUACCCGAGCAUCGGUCGUUGCCUCUGAGUGGUUUUUCUUUCCUGCUGUUGGUGAGUGCCAGGAGAUUAGAGAUCAUUUACCGUCUUUUACACCCAACCGGCUGCAGCAGGAAUAGAACUCCUGAAGACAAAACUGCACGUUGAAACCUCUGCGUCUGAAAAGUGAAGCCCAGUCACUUAAAUGAAGAGAAGAUGAUUGGGGACAAUCUAUGGAGUAGAGGUCGGACCCAUGAGGCAGCAAGAGAAACGGAGAACGAGUGGAGAGAUGUAAGAAAUUAUUCUGAUCUCAAUCGCCAUUUACUUGGAACACAACAAAUGGAAAAAAAAACUUCUUGACAUGUUGAAGAUGUUCGGAAACAGUCCCGUGUAACUUUGGAUUUCUUAUCUAUUAAACUAACAAUUUGCUGCGUGACGGCAUCUGUCAGUGCAUCUUUCUGUUAGCUGAUAAAGUCCCAGAAGAAGCUUUGCAUUUUGUAAAUGUUUAAUCAUUUUAAAUAGGAAACACAUGCGGCUCUGAAGGUUAUCCUCAUUAGUUUGUGACCUUUUAUUUUACCCUCCAUUACUUUUUAUCACAUGUUUUGAUUUGCAGCAGAGCAGAAGCAAAUACGCAAUGAAACUAUCCAGAAAUGGUGGAUAAAAAUGUUCCAAAAACGCCCACAGGUAGUACAUUUAUUUCCCCGCAGUCAGUGUUGUUUUGAGCAGUUAGGCCAUAUCGAACGCCCGACACUGGCCACCUUUCUAAAGCGACUACGUUGAGCCCAUUUGAUCGUCUCCACAAAUGUUUACUCGUAAAUAACGUCAUGGAUAUUGGACGUUAAAGCAACCUGCAUUAUCAGGAACCAAGGUCAAAGGUAUUUCUGAAUGACUCAAGUUAAUGUCUUAAAGUCACUUGAACUACUGUGGUACACAGUUAUUUGGGGGCAGCUUUGCAAUCAAAGUAUCCGUUCACAGGCAUCCACAUGUGGAGAAUAACUUUACGCUUAAACGAAAGCAGGCGACGUGUUUGACAAAUAAUGCCUGUUUCGAUCAGUGUUUCUUUUUCAAAUGCACAGAUGGUCAGAAUAUUCCCAAAAUAACGAGCUGUGUUUACAGAAAUCCCGAAAAAUCCUAACCAGCUAAUCAGUAACCCUUGUUUUAGUAGAACAGACAAAUAAAAAUGUAACAGCGGCGCUUGAAUCAACCCUUUAACACCGGCAGAAAUUAAACAUUACACAACAAAAGAUCAAAAAUCGCCUUUAUAAAUUCUGUAUUUUAUGAGAGCUGUCAGAUCAUCUUAUGGAACAAAAACGUAUGGGCUUGAUCUCCCAACAAACCAGACUGUUCACACAAAUGUCUCAUAAUGAGACCUAAGACGAAGCUUUACUUCUGCAGGUGAUUCAAAGUAAUGAGGUUCUUCUAAUUGAAUCACACGAUUCGAUUUUGAGGCCAUCCAGAGAGAUGGUAGCCUGUGCGUGGUGUUCAAACAAAGGUCAGGGCAACGUGGGGAGAAGGAGACAACAGCUGGUGUCAUAAUUCUUGAGGACUUCAGCUGUGUAGGGAAAGAGGGACUGCGACGAGUAAAACCAUUAGACGCCCACGACGAAAGCAAAGUAUAAGAAAACCCAGCCGCCUGAGCGGAGGACCUUCAGAUGGUCCUCACAGAUUAGUUUCCUCCACUCAUGAAGACACGCGUUGAUAAGGCGUCAGAGUAUAGAGGACUUUAAAGAAAGCCACUCCCUCCCUUGCUCACGUCUGGCUCUCCGUACUCACCUGUUCCAGCCAGGCGCGCUUUCCCUCCGACAAACACACCUGACCUGCUCCAGAUGCUUUCCAUUUCCCCACGGUAGUCAACAGCAGAUGACGUAUGUCACGCCUGCAUGUCUCUGAUUCCUCGCCUACUCCUCGCCCCUUCCUGUUCUUGAUCUCAGCCUUUUUUCACGGUGUUAAAUAUUUUGAGCUCGCUCCCCGUUUGAUGUCUUUCUGUUUUUUUUUUGUCUUUCCUGUUCCGUGUCAGUCACAGUUACAGAUCCGUUAUUAUGAUGAAAUGUGUUGAUCAUACAGCUGCUUUACAUGUUUGAGUCCAAGAGGAGAAUCACACAUUGCUGCUCUCUGACACUUGAUUGAUUGACACAAAUCUGUGUUAUCUUUUAUUUUUCUCCUUGACAAUGUUUUCAUUCACGUCUACAUAAUGUAUAACAUAAUAAUAUUUAGUUCUGUUUAUUAUUGUAUUUUACCUAGAAAUCCUGUGAUUGAAUUUAGGAAGUGAUUCUGACAAUAAGGCACUGAUGAACAGGAGAUGGCUGGACUUCUUAGUUUUGAUAAGCUUCCAUGUUCACAAUAAGAUGAUUUUCUCCAGUCGAGCUGUAAUGCGAACUUGGGGAAUUCCCCGCCACAAUGUUCGAUGUAGAAAAUUGGUCAUUUUGAAUUUUAGCACCCGGUUUAUGCUCAUCCCAUUAUGACCACGCUGUACCCGUUUUAGUAAACGCUUCCGACAGGAUGACGUGGCUUAAUCUGGUUUCUUGAACACUCACUGUACUCAUGUGGCCUCACCACCACAACACGUCUAAACCCUUUGGAGCUUCUUUUGGAUGUUUGUGGAGUAACAGAAGUUAUGCUUUAUGGAUGUACAACCUUUGGAGCAUAUAUCGAAAGAUAUCCCAUUACCAGUACCAUCAAAGAUUAAAGUCAUUCUUAAA